rnacentral:rRNA from 1 species
AUGGUUAAAAAUCAUGAUGAAUCUUCUGAACUUGAUUGGAGCACAUGCUACAAAAUAAUCAAGGGGGUUUGCUUUGGUUUAUGUUACCUCCACGAGCAAACAGAUAAGCCUAUUAUUCACCUUGACUUGAAGCCUGCGAACAUAUUGCUCGAUGACACUACUAGGGAAAAUCCUAGUAGUAGCGCUUAA